CCUACGGGAGGCAGCAGUGAGGAAUAUUGGUCAAUGGACGAGAGUCUGAACCAGCCAAGUAGCGUGAAGGAUGACUGCCCUAUGGGUUGUAAACUUCUUUUAUAUGGGAAUAAAAUGUUCCACGUGUGGGAUUUUGUAUGUACCAUAUGAAUAAGGAUCGGCUAACUCCGUGCCAGCAGCCGCGGUAAUACGGAGGAUCCGAGCGUUAUCCGGAUGUAUUGGGUUUAAAGGGAGCGUAGGUGGAUUGUUAAGUCAGUUGUGAAAGUUUGCGGCUCAACCGUAGAAUUGCAGUUGAAACUGGCAGUCUUGAGUACAGUAGAGGUGGGCGGAAUUCGUGGUGUAGCGGUGAAAUGCUUAGAUAUCACGAAGAACUCCGAUUGCGAAGGCAGCUCACUGGACUGCAACUGACACUGAGGCUCGAAAGUGUGGGUAUCAAACAGGAUUAGAUACCCCUGUAGUC
rnacentral:rRNA from 1 species